UUAGCAGUUUUGUCCCUUCUUUCUCCCAACCCCAACUGAUCUCCAUAACAUACAAGCUCUGCCCACAGAUUGCAAAUUCCAUAAAUAACAUCAGGUAUGCAAGCAAGGAUUUUCUUUUCCCAUGUUUACUAAGUUAGCAGAGAUUGUAUUACUAAUUAUCUUUUCACCUUUUUUCCCAGUGUAAGAUCUUUGAAGCUGAGGAUGAAGCAUAGCAAGCAACGGUCAGAAAUCUGCACAAAAAUUUUCUGCAGUUAGAAAUUUGUUGCAUCUAAAGGUACUUAAAUUUACUGCUUUAAGCUGCCAAGUAGCUACUGCUGUGUGAUGUAGUUGGUGCCAUGAACCCUAGACAACAUGCCCUAUUUAGUUUGAUUUAACAAGACACAGUUUAGUUAUAUGGUUAGCGGAGGAUUGAUGUCUGAAAUUACUAUGGAGUUGUACUUUUCAUUUGUUGUCUGGGUGUGCUUGGAAGUGACUCCUCAACUUGACACUAAUUUGAACUGUCAACUGUGUUUGGAUAGAUAGACAGUACUGUACCUGAAGAUGGUGAUGGCAUCAAAACCCCACUUUGGAUUGCUUGAUUGUCGUAGGAAUAAUUUCCUGAAUCUAGUCGAAAAUAUCAAACUACAUAUAUCAAGUCCAUAACCAAUUGAAAUCUACAAGCUCACUGCACAUAUGGCCUGAAAUCAAGUCUCUCUCUCUCUCUCCACCUCUCUUAAAUUCAGAAUUUUUUAAAGAAAAAUAUGACCUUUUCAGACCAACCAAACAACAAGGUUUUCUUCAUGUCAGAGCAUUGUCUCAGGCUGAAAUGAACCGUGACAGGAAACAUGAGACUUAUAAUUGAUGUCCUAUAUUAAUUUCUACAUACAAUAAUACUACCAGUGCAAAACAUCAAAUUGCAUUCUAGCCAUCUGAUCAAUGCAAAACUAAGAGAAGGAAUUAAUUAUUUCUUUUAUUUCAGAGAAAAUUAGAAGAGCACAGUUCAUAUUACUACCACGAAGAUGUUCCUAGUCUAAAUUGCUCAAUUAAGCUGGCUAAGGUAAAUACGAUUAUUCAAGUGGUAAUUUUUUGUGUUUGCCUAAUCAAAACCCUUAGGCAUUCCUAAAACAUGGCUGCUAAGGAUAUGAUUUGUUAAACAUAAACAAGCAAUUUAUUGAAAUAUAUUAUUGUGAAUCUAAAAAUCUCAUUAAUGACCGCCGGACUUCCUCUAUCUAGGGCGAGGCCGGGUCCAAGAGAAGGAUGCUAGCCCAAAGCCCAUCAAGCUUUCCUUAAGCAGACCGACCCAGUAUCUCAAGCCCUGAUCCGAACAUGCGGGGCAGGCUAAGCUCAUCAUAAACCCGGGACCAACGAGAAGUAAUCUAGCCCAAUGAUGUGACGUGAAGGAGAAUAGUUGGCCCAGUCACUUCGCAGCCUGUCCGCAUGCGUGCUGGAAAAAUUAAAUGCGGAGAAAUUAAAUGGCCGCCUAACGUAGAGAGGGGUCUGACACACCCGUACGUACGGACCUGAGUGACAGAGACAAGUGGCACUGUAGCAGAUAAACGGUUAGACGUCACUAGCUGACAAAAGGAAAAGGGGAAAAACGUCUUCCUCUUCAUCUAAGCUUACACAACCGGAAAAGGAAUAGGAAGAACGUCUUCCUCUCCAUCUAAGCUUACACAACCACUGUAAAUUCUAUUUUCUGGAUCUUAGAACAUCACCAUCACCCCAUAGACAGACCACCCCCAUAGACAGACAUCCCCCUCUCAUUUCAACUUUGGAUCCUUAACUCAACAUUCCUCAAUUGAUUCUACAAGUACCAAAUUCUACUAAUGUUGUCAUUCUCCUCCAAUCCUUUUUAUUACUCCUCCUCACAACUUGUGGUGCAUUGGAGUUUUGGUGCUAUUGGCGUCAAAAUCUGUGGAGAUUGCCAUCCUCCAAGUAAAUUUACAUAUUGUCCCUCAACUUAAGGCAUCGUAGCAACAUGAUUUUUGAACUUCAAUUUGUAAGAUAAUUUCUUUUUACAUAGUAAAUUGCUUGCCUAUAAUGGUUGAUUUACAGGUUACAAGCUGACAUGGCUUGUCCUCUCUCUCUUCAUCUUCAUCUUCCUCAAUUUCAAUAUUGUUUUCCUCAUCUUCCUCACAAACAACAAAAUAGCAAGCUUGAUUUAUCAAAGUAUAUACCCUAUUCCACCAGCUUCAAAAACUUGUCAUUGUUUCCCGACUUCUUAGCAACUAAAAUCUCAUUGAGGAGAGAGAAGAAAAAAGAAAAGGGACGGCAAGCACAAGAUAUAGAAGUUGAUCAAUUGAUUCUUAUGUUUAUCAAUGAGCAUUGCCUUAGGUAACUUGACCAUUAACCUACCAAAAACCAAAACAAAUGGAAAAAAAUCCAUAAUUCUAUUGGAAAAUCCUCAAAAUAUCAUAAAUAGGAUUCUCAAUCAAAAAGUGAACCAACAAUGCAAAACCACCAUUUGAAGAUAAAAUCCUUGAGAGCAUCAAUUCUCCUACGCAAUAUAUCAUUCAAAUGGGAUAUAUUCGAGGAUCUUGCAUAUUAGAUGUUUAAACCAAAUGAAUGCAUCAAUUCAUUUUGAUCUUUCUAGUUCAAUUUGAUUCUCAAUUUCUCAUACAAGCACCAUAUAAGUGUUCCAAAUUGUUGUAAUAUCAUUUGAAAAAUCCAUUUUAGAGGAAAAAUGCAAAUGAAUUGUUGUAGAAAUUGUAUAUUAGGUCAAUAAAUAUGUGCAAACAUAGUUGAGGAACUCGAUGAAAUUAUAAGGGCAGUACCAUAAGUUCCUACCGGAAUAGCCUCCCCCCCUCCAUCGAUGCGAGUUAGUUUCACAAUAUACAUUCUCUCUAUUAAUUUUAGAUUGGACUUCUCUAUUACAAAUUGUUCACUUUAAUUAGACAUGUCUAUAAAUUAAUCAAAUAUUUUGAAAUUCAAAACAAAAUUAUAUUUGGCUUGUAGAUCCACAUACCCAACAUGGAAAAUUGUUGACUUGAACAAAGGAUUUAUCAACAGGCUUGACAUGAACCAACUCAAUUAAAUCUUGCUUGCAAGAUGGGCUGAACUUGGGAUUUAUUUAGUAAUAAGGCUGGGUAUGGUGUGUUAUGGUUAUCAAUUAAUCAACUUUCAUGUACUUGAUAAUAGACUUAUACAUGGAUUUGUCAAGCCACCAGCUUGACUUAAAUUAUCAAGUUUUUGGAUUUCUUUUCCUCUCCUUAAGACUCAACUUGAUCCUAUUGUCUGAAGCUUGCUAAGCGUGGUGUUACAGAUUCACGUUUAAUUAAGGCUUUGACAAACCCAAUCCAGUUUGAUAGAAAGUCAUAUAUAACUUUUAUAAUUUAUGAUGACAAUGAUUUCCACCAUUAAAUUAGAGAUCAUCAAUUUAUCUAAUGAUAGUUAUUGAAUAUUUACCUAAAUGAACCUUAGAGUACUAGAAAUAAAAAAAUAACAAUGAAGUUUUUUAAAAAUUAAAAUAAAAUAAAAUAAAAUAAAACAAAACUACCAUGAUCCUUUCCUAUCUUCCCCUAGGGAAAUAGGAAUAAAGUACUAGUAGCAUGGCUUAUGCCCAUAGGAAUACUUUGGAACAUUAUUUGAACCACUUUUUUUGCAUAUAAUAUUGGUAAAUUUUCAAUACUUUGUCUAAUUCACAUAUCUACAGAAUAACUACGCCAUGCAAUGCAUCAAAUAAGCACAAAGGGAGAACGGAACAAAGAAAACAAUAUUCACAAUACUCGCAUCUAGAUAAGAAAUCAUGCCAAUUUGCUUUGAUCUCCAAAAGAGUUGUAUCGCUUCAGCAAUGUUGUGCAUUUCAUACUUAAGAAGCAUAUGCCAUAGGAUGAUCUUAUUAAUUCAUAAAGUAACAUUUAAGUAGUUGUUGAAGUGCUAGAAACCUUAGAUAUCACUAUCAUCCUUGAACAACAAGAAACCAAGUGAAGAGCAUUAUUAAAGCAAACUAAUUCAUAAGGUGUUCAAUGGUUAUUAAUUAAUCAACUAUGAUGCACAUGAUAAUAGAUUUAUCCAAUGCAUUUGGAGACCCCAAUUGAUUUAAUUGAGGCUUGCUCCCAUACUAGCAAAACUCAUGCCUUAAACAACUUGUAUUGAUAGUAACAAAACAAAUUAGUAAAAGAAUAAAGAUAUUCUUUCAUAGAAAUUAGUGCAUAAAAUAGGACAUAGGUAGAUACUAAAUAAGAAUGUUUAGUUUAAUAUCUCCCAUAAACAACAUGAAACCAACCUUGAUUCUUGAAGCAAGCCUUGCAUCCCUUGUCAAACAAGGGACUAUUGAAAACUCCAUGGACUUGAAUUGAAGUUUUUUUUUAUUUUUUUUAUUAGAAGUCAAAAUUUCAUGUGGAUUGUUGAUUAAUUGUUAAAAGUCAAAAUUUCAUGUGGAGAAGUAUUGUCAAAGCCAUCCACUUGCUGCUCAAACCACCAAGUACAUUGACUGAAUUAGAUGAGGAAGCAAUUAAUGCUGCUAUAAUUUCUUCAUAAACAACUCCAAACAUUACUAUAAUACAACCGGUUUUAUUAAGAUAGAGGCCAAUGAUAAAAGAAUUAAGGUAUAUCCUCCAUUAAACAAAGAGACAAAAUGGAAGGAAAAUCCAUGAAAUAAAUAAUAAAAGAGAGAGUUGUUUAUUAAUGCAAAACAAAAGAUGUGUUCUUGAAGUAGUUUCUGACCUGCUCGAUUAGAUAUUUCUUGUGGGAAUCUUUCGCAAUGAGCUAACUUUUCCUCAAUCAAAUCCCACCUGCAAAAGCUCAAAACACAGGAGCAAAAAUAGAAAAGAAAAAGUUGCAGCUAACUUCCCAUAUGAAGAAAUAAACAUUCCUUGUUUUACUUAAUCUAUGGAGUCCCCAACUACUUUGAACAAAAAAUACAGAAAAUCAAGAAAAGAAAAAUAGAAUCUUUUCAGAACCCACUUGAGCUAAUGUGAAAGUGAAUAGAUAAUGAAGAAUGAUCAGAGCAAAAAGAAGCCAAACAAGUAAAAGCAACCCUAUUUAGAUAGGAUAGGGUUUUUGAAACCCCACAAAAGGGGGAAAUCAUUAUGAAACCAGUAGAUUCAGGUGAAUACAAAAGUCCAAAAUCAGAAGAAAAAAUCUCGAACUUGGUACAUGACUGAUGACCAUGCGCAUGAAUAAAGAAAAAGAGAAUUCAAGUGCAGAGAAAUAUGAAAAUGGAGAGAAGGUUUUGCAAGUGAGGACCAUGCUACAAACUUAGAUGACGUGAAUUCCCUCGUGCUAUUACAUUAUAAAUUGCCGCUAAAUCUGCACAGUAAUCACGCCUACCUCUUAAUCUAAAAAUCAUCAAAAGCCACGCUUUUCAAGCUAUUAAAAUAUAUAAUUUAAUGCUUAAAAAACUUAAAUAAAUUCAAACCAAGACAAAUACAUACAAUCUGAUAUACCCUUCUGGUAUUAAUUAAUGGGGUGACACUUGGCAUCGUUUUUUCUCUGUUUGCUCAACCGUCAUCUUCAUCUUCAUCUUCGAAAGAGAAACAAAAAGAAAUAAGGGAGAGGUAUCAAUCUGGAACAAAACAGACCAGGAAUUUAGGUGACCUGAGAGAGAUCCAAUUCCGGCGGCUGGAAGCUGACAGAAAGAGAAGUGAGCACGCAAAAGCAAGGGUAUAGAUUUAUACAAAUGCCUCUGUGUGCUCACUCUCUUCUGUCAAUUUCUAUGUCCCAGAAGAUAAAGAGGAGACCAAAGAAGAAAGUAAAGACAAGCUAAGCUACCCAGAAAUGGAAAAAAAUAUAUAGAAAAGAAAGGAAAAAAAGAGAAGCAUAAAAUGUACAAAAGAAUGGAGUCAGAUCUGAGAAUAUAGUGAGACCCAUUUAAGGAAAGUUACCAAAAAUCCACAAAUCACACUGCUUUAUCUACAAGAAUGAAACGGCUUUAAUGACAGAUUUAGGGUUUUGUUUGGGACCAAGAAAAGAAACUGUAGCCACCAUAAAGUAAAGAACCCCUUCUCUCUUUCUCGACUCUCGAAAAACCCUUGUGUGUUUCUCUCUCAUGCAAGACGUACAGGUGUCGGUAACAAGUAGCAGGUGUCCUCUCCUUAUCUGAAACAAAACCUAACAGCGAUGACUGACGACGCUUAACACUCAGCCAUUGACUAUGAAUAUAAAUAUGAACGGCGGGAUCAUGGGUUGGCUUCCCAAAGAUUGAAAAACCAAAAAAGAAAGAAGAAAACGAGUGCAGAGAAGCAAACGAUAAAAAGAAGAAGAAGAAGAUGAUGAUCAAGAAGAAGAAUCAGUACUCUGUUUUUUUCUUAUCUGAGUGUGUUGAAUAUGUACUCUGUCGGGAUGUGAUUGGUUUGGCGGAGAUAGUUGAGGGUACGUGUUGGUUUCAUUCUGCUGUCACUUCCGAUUGAUCUCUUGCCGUCUGAUUUAGAGUUUUUAUUUUUUAAACUCGUAAUCCCUGCCGUUGGAUUGUGGUGAUUGUGGGAUCAGGACAUUUUUGGUUCCCAAGUGGUCUCUGGUCUUGGGAAUUGGGUCUGAUGCGACUGCGUCUCUCUGGGAAACAAGCCUACUUCUCUUUCGCUCUUCUCCUUUCUUCUACAUCCCGUUUUCUUUUAUAUUACCUGCAUCCGCUGACACGUGGCAUCUCUUUUCUCAUUUAUUAUUAUUAUUAACAUAAUCGUGGAUUAGUUGACUACGUGCACUUCAAAUUGUUCUUUCAAUUAAUACAUUUUUUAAUACACAAAUAUAUAAAAAUAAAAAAGAAAAAGAAAAGAAAUUUAUUUUUAAAGAACAGAAUAUUAUUUAUUAUUUUACUUAUUACUAUUAUUAUAAUAAUAGAGAUGCAGAAAGGGGCAGAAGCAGAGGAUCAUAGCCCUCAAGUUCAAAGGUCCCUUUAAGCCUGCUAAAGGUGGGUGUAUUCAUUACAGUACAGCCUAGUGGGGCGGGGACCGUCUGUACCCUAAUCUCGCUUCUCUAUAUUACAAACAGCUUGAAUUUCCAUUUUAGUAGAGGAAUAAACAAACAGAAAGUUUUAAAGAUUUUAAAUUUAAUUUGUUAAAUUUUUUUUAAAUUUAAAUUAAAUUUGAAUUUUAUUAUUUUAAAUUUAAAUAAAAUAUUAAAAAAUUUAAAUUUAACUUGUUUAAUAAAUAAAUUUAAAUUAAUUAAAUUUUUAUUAAAUUUAAUUUUAAAUAGUUAAGUUUAAAUUAUUUACAUAUAUAAUAAUUUUUACUUUAAAAUUAAUAAAUUUAAAAUUAAAAAAAUUUAAUUAAAUAAAUAUAUUUAUAAAUUAACUCGUAAACUCAUAAAAAUGAGCUUUUAAAUUUUAAUAAUCUAAAUAUUUAAUUCAUGAAAAUAUAUGUAGGAUUUGAGUUUAUAUCUGUUAUAAUAAUAAUAUCAGCUUACUUAAUGUGAUUAUUUACGAGUUUAUUCGUGAGUUUGCUCAUAAACUCAAAAAUGAGCCGAGCUCAUGAGCUGAAUACUACGGAGUUCAAACCUAAAAAUUAAGUUUGAAUUUGACUCGUUUAGAAAUUUUGUCAAACUCGAUCGGGAUUUUAUUGAACCGAAUUUUGAAUAGUUUAUGAAUUAUUUAAUUCAUUUACAUCCCAACUUAUUCAUAUUUUUCAGUUUUAUUAUUUAUUUAUUAAUAUACUAUUAUUUAUUUAAUUGAGUUUGUUAAUUAAUAAAAUUAUUUCAAAAUUGUUGACAUGUUUAUUUAAUAAAAUAUAUACCUUUAAAACCAAAUACAAAUAAAAUCAAUUGAUUUUAUGUGGCAAAUUCUUAAUGAUUUGUUAAAUUUGAUUAUUCUCAUAUUAGCUCCAAUUUUUUUUUAUUCAUCACAAAUUAUGUCACUUUUCUUUUUUGAGGUGAUAAAGCAUUCAUUAACUUCAUAAUAUAAUCCUAUUUAAUAAUGCAUCAAAAAAACAAAAUUUAUUAGUUUUAAAAAUAAUUUAAUAAUUAAGUAAUUUAAGUAGAGAUUAUAUUUAAAAAAAUAAUCUUAUAUUUUCAUUUUAAAAUUUAGGAAAAAUUACUUUUUAGUUCCUGAGAUUUAACGUAAUUAACCCUUAUAUCCCUCUAUUUUGGCGACACAACAUUUAAGUCCCUUACUUUAUUUUUCGUUCAAAUUCAUAGUUUUUCAUCCAUUUAAAGCCGUUUAUUUGGUGAAAGAGUUAUAGGUGAAAAGUGAUAAUUUUUUUCAAAAAUACCCUCCUCUCAAUCUUUCUUCUUUUUUAUAUUCCAUUAUUAUUGAAUAUAUUAAUUAAAUCUUUUUAACAUAUGUGCAAAUAAUUGUAUAAAUAUUUUUAGACAAUUUUUUGAUAUUUCAAAAUAAUUUUAGCGAUUAAGAAUUAUUGCUAAAUAAAAAUAAAAAAAAGAAAUGGAAGGAGUGGUUUUACGGGGAGCAGAGACCACGCCAUUAAAAGGCCUAAAGGCACAUCUAACUUCUCUUUCAUAUCAAUUAAAACCUUGAAAGGUUCCAACUUUAGGAUAUAGGGAAGGGUGGUCAUAUGUCUAAUGGACCACUUCUUCUUCCCAACCCAACCACACAUUCUCCCACCUUUACAUAACUUUGAUAGUUACCCCUCAUUCACUUAUGGAUAAUAUUUUUAAUUUGAUAGAUACCCUCAUUCACUUAUGGAUAAUAUUUUUAAAAAAGGCCACAUAUAUAUUUACACUUAUAAAAUACUAGAUAAUAAGUUCUCAAGAAAUAUUCUUGAGAUUAUUCACUUUUCAACAUAUAACUGUAUUAAGAAAUAGCGAAAUUUAAUUAUAAUCUUAUCGACUACAUGGUUAAAUUAGAUCAUCAGCAUAGUAAUUUAAUUGGUCGACCGAUCUGUUGUCUAUUUCAAGUGGACUAACUAGUCUUCUCAAUAGACUCUUACAUUUACUUGUUUAAUUAAACAUUAUUAAAAGUAAUUUUUUUAUAAUCAAUUCUCUCAAUUAUUAAAUAUUACUGUUUUGACUGAAUUUUAAAAUUGUUAUUAAAUAAAUAUUUAUUUUAUUAAAAAAUUUAUAUUAUUUUCAAAUUUUGAAUAUAUUUCACAAAUUAUUUGAAUCAGCAAGUAAUAUGUGUACAUUCUAAGAUCAAUUUGAAUUGAAGGAGAAGAUUUUUUUCAAAUAUAAAAAAUAUAGAGUGGGUUUUAGUUUUAAAUUUUGUAUAUUAUAUAUUAUUAUUAUUAGGGUAUUGAUUAUUAAUAGUGAAUUAUAUAAUAUUUUAUAAUUCAUGCUAAUUUUUUAUUAAGAUUGUGAAUUUAUUUUAAUAUUAAGAUAUUUAUAUAAAAAUUUAUUAAUAAAAUUUAUUUUUUAAAUUAAGAUUAAACUAUAAAAAUAAAUUAUCUUAUUAGAAAAUAUUUUUUAAUAAAAAUAUUUUACACAGUAAAUAUUUUUUAAAUACAAAUUAUUUUUCAUAAACAAAUGAAACUUAAUUAUUUUUUUUCAAAAAUUUUUGCAAUUUAAUUAAACCUACCUUAUCACUUCUCUUUUGUUAUUUUUCUAAUGAUAGAUUCAUUUAGAAAAAUUAUAGAGAUUUGAAGUAAUUAGACGAGGAGGGUAAUUUCAUCAAAUUCAGGAUUUCUUUAUUAUAUUUUUAAUGAUUUAAUUUAUUUUUUAAUCUCUGCUUGUUUGCAAAAAAUAAUUUCUAUUUAAAAAAUAUUUUUUAUGAACAAUAUUUUUAAAAAAUAUUUUUUAAUGAGUUAACUUAUUUUUUAUUAUUAUUAUAUAUAAUUAAUAUUUAUUUAAUGUCUAUUUUAUUAUCAUAUAUAUAAUUAAAAUAAAUUAUUUUCUGUCUUAUUAGUUAAACAAUAUAAUAAUUAUGAUUGAUUAAGAAGCAAGAAAAUAAUAAAAAAAAAGAAGUAAAUACUUGUUAUUUAAUAAAAUAAAGAUAUUAACUGAUGUAAAAUGACUGAUAUUAACAUUUCUCUCAACAGUAUAAACGAACCGGUAAUGCAGUUAACUCUAAAAUGAUUAGUUUAAAGAUAAUAAAAUUAGGAAAAAGAAAGGAGAGUUGAUGUUACAGUUGGAAGGACAAGAUUCGUUACUGGUUUGUGACCUAUCCCGACACUCCAUGUCAGCAGGAAUCACGACAAGACAACUACUGGAUCGCAGCCCCCAUGUGCGAAUUGUCACUUUACUCCGUGUUCCAUCUACUUAUGAAGUCAUCUUUAAUAACAAUAAGGUUAAUUAACUGAAAAAUCUUAUUUCUUAUUUUAAUAUAAAUAUUUAAAUUUUAAAAUUUUAAUUUAAUCUUUAUAUUUAAAUGUAAUUUUAAUUUAUUUUUAAAAAUUAAAAUGUGAGAUUUCAAAUCUCAUAUUAUAGGUAAUAUUUUACUAUUUCUAAAUAUAAAUUAGUUACAUAUAUAAAUAAUAUUAACUCAUAUUUAUUAGAAUUAAUUAAAAUAUUUAAUUUUAAAAAUAAUAAUAAUUUAAUUAUUAAAUAUGCAAUUUACAUAUUCAAUAAUAAAUAAAUUCUAUUUUCAAUAAUAAUUAUAAAUAUUUUAUAUCAGAUAUAUUAUUUUUAAUUAUUUUAUACAAAUUAUUAUUUUAAAUUAAAAUAUUUAUUAUUUAGUUUAUAAAUAUUAUCAAUGAGUCAAUUUUUACAUUUUUAAAAAUUUAUUAAAAUAUUUUUAUCUAUUUUUUCUAUAAUAAAUCAGUUUUCCAUAUAUUUGUCCCGUUAAAAAUAUAAUAGAAGGCCAAAUUCCAUCUCUUAUUCUCCUCCUUUUUAUUUUUCUUUUUCUUCUUUUACCUUCUAUUUUUUAGGAUGAGAGAUUAUUUUAUUAAUGGAAAGAAACGAUAAGAAUAUUUUAAAAGAUUUAAGAAAAAAUAAAAGACGUUUUAAUAGAUUUAAAAAAAAUAAUAUUUUAAUAUAUUUAUGAAAAUAUAAAAACUGAUUCGUUAAUAAUGACAAUAUCCUGAAACCAAAUAAGGGGUUUUAUUUGAGAAAAUUUGAGUUUAAAAAAUUUUCUCUCAUUAUUCAUCUAUUUUUAAUAAAAGAGACAACUGAAGAUUAUUUUGUCGAUAAAAAGAAAAAAAAAGAAUAUUUUAAUAAAAUUUUGAAAAUAUGAAGACUAACUUAGUAAUAAUGAUAAUAUUUAGAGAUUAAAUAGUAUUUACUAUAAAACUUUUACAAUUAUAUUACAAAAUAAAACCUAUCACUUAUGAAAAUGCAAAUGAUAAAUUUAACAAUUAAAUUACUUAUUUUUAUUUUUAAUUUUAAAAAUUAGUUAAAAUUAAUUAUAUUUAAAUAAAAUAUAAUAUUAUUUAAAAUUAAAAUAUAAAAUAAAGUAAACAUUUGAAAUUCUGUAAUGAUAGUUGUAUAAAAAUAAAAAAAAAAAUAUUCUUAACACAUAUAAUUAUAAAUUCCAAAUUACAGAUUAUAUAGUUUAAAAAAACAUAACAACUACAAUUAAAAUACAGACAAAUGAGAAAAGUUGUUAUAAAUUUUAAUAAUUUUUCACUUAAAUCUUCAUUUUUUUUCUUCUAGUUUUAUAACAUUCAAAUUGAAAUUAAUUAUUAUUAUUAUUAUAUUUUUAUUUUUAUCAAUAAUUUAGAGAUGUCCAUUUCUUACUUAAUCCAUUUCUUCUAAGGUUCUUUUUCUUUGUAUCAUGCACAGGGACGGAUUUAGGCUUUGGAGUAGUAAAGUAGUUUUUUCAUAUAUUUAAAUAAUUAAAAAAAUUAUCAUUAGAUAUCUAAUUUUUAAAAAAUUUAUUAAUUCUUAUAAAUUUAAUUUUUUAUAAAAAAUCCAUUAAAAUAUCUUAAAUAUUUAUUAUUUACUUUAUAAAUCAUUUAGUUUUUAUAAAUUUAAAUAUAUAUAGACUAUUUAGUCUUUGUGAUCAAAAGAUAAAUAAGUUAGAUAACAAUUUAGUUGAUAAAUAUAUAUAAAUUUUCUAAACACUCAAAAUUACUAAGUGGUUAUUUUAAUUUUUUUAUAUACAUUAUUUUUAUUCAUCUCUAUUUAUAUGAUUGAAAUUAUAUAUUUUAAAUUAUUUAAAUAUAAAAAUAAAUUUAAAAAAAAUUAAUUUAAUAGAUAAUUUAUUAUAUUAUUUAAAAAUUGAAAAUCUUACAUGAUAAAAUAAAAAAAUAUUUUUAUAUAUAUAUAGUUUAGACUACUCAUUAUAAAAAUAAAAAUUCAUGUUUUAUAUUAUAUGAGAAAAUUAAUUUAACUUGAAAAAAAGUUCACUGUAUACAAAUUUUUUUUUUGUUAAUUUAUUUAACUAUGAUUUUCAAUUUAACUAUUUUUUUUAAACAAUUUAAAAAAAAUUUGAUAUUUUACUUAAAAAAAUAACAUUGAAUUGAGCUCAAUUUUUAUGACUAAAAUUAAUUUAGGUUAUUAUGAUUAUGUUUUUAUUUUAAUGAAUAAUUUAAAGAUAAUCAUUUCUCUUAUCAAUUUUUUCAAAAUUCACUCUCAUUGUUAUUAUAAUUUAGAAAAGUGUUUGAUUGGAAUUAUAAUUGAGGGAAAAAAGUAUAGAAAAAUUAUUUUUUAAAAAAAAUUAAAAAUAUGUUUUAUUAUUUAUAAUUUUAAAAUUUUAUUAUUGUCUUUACCGAAUAUUUCUUUUAUUUGGAUUCAUAAGCAAGUUAAUAGUAAAACUCCAUUCCUCCAUUUUUAACUGAGUAUUAUUAUUUUUAAUUUAUUUUUUUAAAAAAAAUUAUUUUAUUAUUUAAAAAAAUAUUAUUCAGUCUUAAUAAUAUGAAUUUUUGGUUUGAAUUUUUGUUUAGCUAGUAAUGAUUUUGUCAAGACUGCAAUAAUAAUGAAAGCAAUGAUGUUGAUAUUGAAGAUAAUCAACCCCAGUAAUAGUAAUUAAUAAUAGUUUAUGAGAUCAUAACUAAUAACUAAUAUUAAUAAUAAAAUAAUAAAUAAUAGAGUAAAAUAUUUCAUUAAUCAAUUUUUUUUUAUUUCAAUCUUUCAACCUUUUAGAAAAAUUACAUUGUUCUUCCUCAGUUUAUUGUUUAAAAAAUUAAUUUUAUUAUAACUAGGGACUAUUUAUAUAUAUUAGAAAAAAAAUUACUGUUAGUUCUUGUACUGUAAAGAAAUUCAUUAAUUAAUUAAAAAUAUUAAAAUAUUUUUAAAUUUUUAAAUUUUAUUAAUUAAUUUUUUAUUAAUUUUAACAGUUAAAUAUUAAAAAAAUGACUAAUUAAUAAAUAUUUUUAUAAAUUUGAGAACUCCGUAACUAAUAUUAUAUUAUAAAAAUUAAAUAAUAAAAUAUUUAUUGAUUAAGAUUAAACAACUAUGAAAUUGUGAGAAUUCUAUUAUAUAUUGUAUUUAAUAUUGAUACACUAUUUAUAUGUGUAGAUAGUUACAAAUGAUAACAAUAAAUAAAUUUAUAAGGCUAAGAACGUAUUUUGUGAUUUUUGUCAUACCUCCUCAAUUCAAACAUCCGUAGAAAAAGAUUGAAUUGUCAAAUGAAACAUAAGUAUCCGAUAAUGAGUCUUAGGGAGCGGCUUUGUCAUGAUGUCUGCCGAUUGGUGUUUGGAACAAAUAAAUUUAACCUUAAACUCUUUCUUUUGAACUUUGUUAAGAAUAAAAUGAAAAUUAACUUCUAAGUAUUUGGCCACCAAUAUUAUCACAAUACAUAUUCGAUGUUUGAGCUUAAUGAAAUCCACUGUUACACAAAUAUGUAGCACCAAUAUUAUCAAGUGGCUUUCAUUCCAAGAAAGUAUUAUAACUUUUUAAGAUCUUUCGACAUGAAUUCUUUCUGAAAAGAUUGUUGUAUCAUAUUUGUAUUUGUACUGUCAAGAUGAUAUCAUCAAUGUACACUAACGCAAAGAUUGUAACUUUAUCUUUAGCAUAGUAAAAUAAGGACGAAUCUACUGGUGAAGCCCGAAAACCAUGGGAAAGUAAAGUAGAAAUAGACGAUUGUACCAUUGCCUUGGUGCCCGACGAAGGCCAUAGAGAGAACACUGAAAUCUACAAACAUGAUCAGGUUUCAUUUGGUCUUAAAAGUCUGGUGGUUGUUCCAUAAAGACUUCAUCUUCUCGAAGUCACCAUGCAAGAAUUCAUUUGAAAUAUCUAGUUGUUUAAUCAACCAACCAUGGGAAACAGCCAAAGAUAGAAUUACACGAAUAGUAACAGGUUUUACCAUAGGGGAAAAUGUUGUAAAAUUAAUUUAGAUUUUAAAAAGAUUUUAUGGUCAUUAAAAUUUGAUGAUAGUUGAAGAUUUCAUGGUAAUUAGAGAUUUUAUGGUAAUAAAGAUUUUAUAAUCAUUAAAUAUUUUAUUUAUGAGAUUUAAAUAUAAUAUUAAAUAUGACUAUUAUAAUUUUAUUUCAUGAAUUUUAUGACCAUAUAUAGCGGUCAGUUUUUCCACGAUAAAAAGCUUUUGUCUUUACAAAAUAGUGACUCCCAAUUUUUCUACUUUAUUCUUUUUUUUCUCUGUAUUUUCUGUUGGGUUAUAAAUCAGAGAUGAAUUAUUGUUGUUCUGAUCCUGAGAAUUAAAUCUCAGAAGAACUUAUUUAAUCCUGGAGAAUUACAAAAUAAAUCUUUAAGGUCAAUGUCCAAUACGACUCAAGUUUUAUUGUUUUACCCUAUUUUUACAACAGAAAAUGUCUCAAAAUAAUCGAUACCCAGAUGUUGAUGAAAGCCUUUUGCGACUAGCCGUGCUUUAUAAUGGUCAAUACUACCAUCGGUCUUUUAUUUAACUCGAAAUAUCCACUUGCACCCAACAACAUUUUGUGCUUUGCAACGCGGAACUAAUUCCCAUAUACCAGUCUGAAUUAAUACAUUUAGUUCAUGUGUCAUUGCAUCUCGCCAAAGUGAGUUUUUAAUAGCCUCAAUGUAACAAGUUGGAAGCAUAAAGGGUGUAAUAGUAGUAUUUUUGGACUGUGGAGACCAAGAGAUAUCUGGUGAUAAAAGUUCAUGAUGUAAAAGAGCAUGUUCUAACUCAACAAUAUAUCUGUGUUUUCUGACUGCACAAUCAUUCUAUUUAGAUGUGUGAGGACAGAAAACACGUUAAGUAAUCCCGUUAUCUUUUAGAUAUUUGAUUAAAGACCAAAAUUCACCCCCAAUUAGAUUGAAAACUUUUAAUUGGAAGGCCAAAAUAUUUUUCAACAAGACUUUGAAAUUGAACAAAGACAUGAAAGACAUCAGGUUUUUGCUUUAGAAAAUACAACCAACAGUAUUUAUUAAAGUGAUCAUAGAAAAUGACGUAAUAUCAAAAACCAUCAAUAAAAGCAACAGGUGAGGGUCCGUAUAUCCAAAUAAAUUAAUUCAAGAGGUUUCUUAGCACGAUAAAAAUGAAUCAGAAAAUGGCAAUUUAUGUGAUUUACUCACAUUACAAACAUGAGAUAAAUCAAAUUGUUUAUUGGAAUCAAAUGAAAUUUUAUUGGAUUUAAGGAGAUGCUUAACAACAUGAAUAUUAGCAUGACCCAAACGUUCAUGCCAUAUCAAUACUGUUGCGGAAAAGCUUGUGGAGCAAAAGACUGAACGGAUUGCACGGGAAACAGGUACAGUGAUGGGCAUUACCUUGCAACAUGUCCGUUACCAUUACAAUUGUAACACUGGAAGCCACAGCCACUGUUGAACCAGAAGGGUAAUUGUUUGGGCUGGAAAUAUAAGAAUUCCCAUAACCACGUCCCUGACCUCCACGACCACGAUUGUUACAGCCACC
rnacentral:lncRNA from 1 species